GGUUCAUUCAAAAUUUCUGCCCUAUCAACUUUCGAUGGUAAGGUAUUGGCUUACCAUGGUUUCAACGGGUAACGGGGAAUUAGGGUUCGAUUCCGGAGAGCGAGCCUGAGAAACGGCUAGCACAUCCAAGGAAGGCAGCAGGCGCGCAAAUUACCCAAUCCCGACACGGGGAGGUAGUGACAAUAAAUACUGAUACAGGGCUCUUUUGGGUCUUGUAAUUGGAAUGAGUACAAUUUAAACCUCUUAACGAGGAACAAUUGGAGGGCAAGUCUGGUGCCAGCAGCCGCGGUAAUUCCAGCUCCAAUAGCGUAUAUUAAAGUUGUUGCAGUUAAAAAGCUCGUAGUUGAACCUUGGGUCUGGCUGGCAGGUCCGCCUCACCGCGUGUACUUGUCCGGCCGGGCCUUCCUUCUGGAGAACCUCAUGUCCUUUAUUGGGCGUGUUGGGGACCAGGACUUUUACUUUGAAAAAAUUAGAGUGUUCAAAGCAGGCCUUUGCUCGAAUACGUUAGCAUGGAAUAAUAGAAUAGGACGUGCGAUCCUAUUUUGUUGGUUUCUAGGACCGCCGUAAUGAUUAAUAGGGACAGUCGGGGGCAUCAGUAUUCAAUUGUCAGAGGUGAAAUUCUUGGAUUUAUUGAAGACUAACUACUGCGAAAGCAUUUGCCAAGGAUGUUUUCAUUAAUCAGUGAACGAAAGUUAGGGGAUCGAAGACGAUCAGAUACCGUCGUAGUCUUAACCGUAAACUAUGCCGACUAGAGAUCGGGCGAUGUUCUUUUUAUGACUCGCUCGGCAUCUUACGAGAAAUCAAAGUUU
rnacentral:rRNA from 1 species